CAAACCCUAAAGACACCCUAAUGCUCUCAAACCCUAGUCGCCACUAUUCAUCAUCUUCUUCCUCCAUCUCCAAACCCUUCCAUGGCUGCCCUUCCCAUCCACUUUCCCUAUUCCUCACUCCUUGUCCCCUUGUCCACCACGCUUUGUCUCUCACAAUUUGAAAAAUACACGGACAUAACUACUACACGGAGGACUUCAUUUUGGAAGAAGGCUAUUGACUGAGAAAAAGAGGAAGAAAGUCCACUGUUUGAUCUUCUUCUUCAUAAUAAAAAAGAGAACAAAAAACCAUCACGUCAAAACCUCACACAAAGAACACACAAAGACACGCUUAAGACCAGGUGAAGGGGGCUGAUUAUUCAUUCACGAAGGGGACUGUUCAUUCGUCCUCUUCAUCGUAAAAAAGAGAGAGGCCACCACUGUUGGCAUCUUCUUCAUGGUGAGGAAGAUACAAAAACAACAACAAACCCGUCUCUAACCAAACAGUUUGUCGUCACCCCUCCAAACGACGUCCAAGCUUGCAACCAGCCCCCAAACCUCCGUCGACCAUAACCACGUGAUAGUCGACCACUCCAGCCAGCUCGACGCUGCCGGUCAGCCGCCUCACCCAAACGAGCAGUAGCGAACAACUACUGCUGCUGCUCCGCCCGUCCAGUCAUGCCACUCCACUACUCCGCCCGUCCAGCCACUCCACUGCCCCGUCCCCCAUCCAGCCAUCGCCUUCAUCGCCCGAUUCGUGGUCGUCUUCGUCGUCUAGUUUCUUCACUUGAAAUCAACCUUAAAAUACACAAAUUUUCCGGGCCAGAUCCGAGUUUAAUUUGGGUUCCAAAAUUUCCGGGCAGAUCUGUUUUUGUUCGAGUUCGUCGCUGUUUCGAUCCAG
rnacentral:lncRNA from 1 species